rnacentral:rRNA from 1 species
AUACGGAGGGUGCAAGCGUUACUCGGAAUCACUGGGCGUAAAGCGCGCGCAGGCGGCUUGAUAAGUUGGAUGUGAAAGCCUACGGCUCAACCGUAGAACUGCAUCCAAAACUGUCAGGCUAGAGUGUGAGAGAGGAAGAUGGAAUUAGUUGUGUAGGGGUAAAAUCCGUAGAGAUAACUAGGAAUACCAAAAGCGAAGGCAAUCUUCUGGAACACUACUGACGCUGAGGCGCGAAAGCGUGGGGAGCAAACAGAAUUAGAAACCCCAGUAGUCC